rnacentral:rRNA from 2 species
UAACGACUCUCGGCAACGGAUAUCUCGGCUCUCGCAUCGAUGAAGAACGUAGCGAAAUGCGAUACGUGGUGUGAAUUGCAGAAUUCCGUGAACCAUCGAGUUUUUGAACGCAAGUUGCGCCCAAAGCCAUUCGGCCGAGGGCACGCCUGCCUGGGCGUCACGC